ensembl:lncRNA
AGACAUUCUGAUUUAAUGGUUCUGAGGCAUAACCUGGGUACCAAGACGUUUCAAAGCACCCUAGUGACCUAUGUGCAGUGACGGGUCUCCAUGUCACAACUGUUAGGACUCAAUUUUCUCUCUCUUCCUCCAAACACCCCAUCCUGCCUAAUUCCAGCUCCUCUGAUCAUUCAGUUCCUUCUCUCCCUCCCCCAAGGUUGCCACCUCAGCAACUUUCCAAGGCUGGGUCUUUCUGCCAGCAGUGAGUGAGUCCCAGACUACAGAGUUUUAGACAUUCUUACGGGCUGAAUUGUGUCUUUCUAAAAUUCAUAUGUUGAAGUCCCUCAGAAUGCAACUAUAUUUGGAAAGGUGGCCUUUAUCAGGUAACUAAGGUGGAAUGAGUGCAUAUGGGUCAACCCUCACCCAAUAUGGUGGAUUUACGAGAAGAUUAGGAAGCAAGUAGGCAUAGAGGGAAAAUGGAGACUGAGGGAGAAGAGUACCAUCUACAGUCAAGGAGAGAGGUUCCUCAGAAGAUAUCAAGCCUGCGGAUACCUUGAUCUCAGACUUUUCACCUCCAGAAUUGUGAGAAAGCAAAUUUCUGUUGUUUAACCCCCCUAGACUGUAGUUCUUGUUAUGGCCGCCAGAGAAGAUGAAGACAGAAAUCUUCCAGUGUGCCCAGUACCUUGCUAUGGUUUUUCCAGUGGUCAUGUAUGGAUGGGAGAGUUGGACUGUGAAGAAAGCUGAGCACCGAAGAAUUGAUGCUUUUGAACUGUGGUGUUGGAGAAGACUCUUGAGAGUCCUUUGGACUGCAAGGAAAUCCAACCAGUCCAUCCUAAAGGAGAUCAGUUCUGGGUGUUCACUGGAAGGACUGAUGUUGAAGCUGAAACUCCAAUACUUUGGCCACCUCAUGCGAAGAGUUGACUCAUUAGAGAAGACCCUGAUGCUGGGAGGGAUUGGGGGCAGGAGGAGAAGGGGAUGACAGAGGAUCAGAUGGCUGGAUGGCAUCACCGACUCGAUGGAUAUUGCCGGAGCGCGCCCGCCUGGUAGCGUUUGUGGCCGAGAGGUCCAGAGAAGAGGGUUCCACUGAGGAUGCCUAAGA